CAUGACAAGGAUUCGCUAAUGUGUGGUGAGCAUUCUGGCACAACAUGGCUGCCAUGCAUCACCCAGGUGGGUGCUACACAUUGGUGGUGGGUGAGAAGGACGGGCAAUCAUGUUUAUUCAUCAACCACAGUGCAAUGAAUGAACAGAAAUGUAUUUGAAGUCAUGAAGAAAACAUAAUUUCAGUCAAUGUAUAUUCAUAUACAUUUGUAAGGUUUCCAUACAAUUGCACAACAAUUAAGAAGUCCUUUUAUUCAGACAGAUGGGAAAACAUGCUUAUAUAUUUAGUAAAGAACAUUAAAAGAACACCACAGUGUUUUAAGACAUUUAUGAAGACAGUAUGAGGUAAUUCACACAAGACCCAAAUAUGUCCAAAAACUGCACAAAAAUGAAAACAUCCAAAAUAUGCUAUUUUUUCAUACUCAAUUGCAUACAAGUGAAAGGAGGAUUCAGAAGGAUGGGAAAACAUGUUUAUUCAUAAUCUACAGUGAAAUAAAUGAAUGCAAUUAUUUUUGAAAGCCUUUAUUGAGACAUUGUAAUUUCAUGGGAACAUUGAAAUACAUAAGACUUUAGUCCAAAAAAACAUGACAUUGUUUCAAUCAGUUGAAUGAGAAAACGUGUAUUUCAUUAACCGCAGUGAAAUAAAUCAAUGUUUUUUUGCUCUUUGAA